AUCGAACCUAGGGCAGCUUGCGCGCCUAUAAGUAAACGUUGAAGAGUUGGGCCAAUUGGCUCGCAUCAGUCGAUCAAGAGAUAAUUGGCUAUGUUUCAGCUAUUUAGGAACGAACACGCUACCUUAGAAGCGAGAAGCAAGUCUGUGUGGCCACGGUCCGUUCAACCGCGCAACUGUCGACGUCGACAAACUC
rnacentral:sRNA from 1 species